UACAGAGGUCUCAAGCGUUGUUCGGAUUCAUUGGGCGUAAAGGGUGUGUAGGUGGCGCCGUAAGUCGGGUGUGAAAUUUCGGAGCUUAACUCCGAAACUGCAUUCGAUACUGCGGUGCUUGAGGACUGGAGAGGAGACUGGAAUUCAUGGUGUAGCAGUGAAAUGCGUAGAGAUCAUGAGGAAGACCAGUGGCGAAGGCGGCUUCCUGGACCAAUACUGACGAUCAGGUGCGAAAGCGUGGGGAGCAAACAGG
rnacentral:rRNA from 1 species